rnacentral:rRNA from 1 species
GACUCUGGGAUAAGCCUGGGAAACUGGGUCUAAUACUGGAUACUACGUGCCCUCGCAUGGGGGUGUGUGGAAAGGGUUUUACUGGUUUUGGAUGGGCUCACGGCCUAUCAGCUUGUUGGUGGGGUAAUGGCCUACCAAGGCGACGACGGGUAGCCGGCCUGAGAGGGUGACCGGCCACACUGGGACUGAGACACGGCCCAGACUCCUACGGGAGGCAGCAGUGGGGAAUAUUGCACAAUGGGCGAAAGCCUGAUGCAGCGACGCCGCGUGAGGGAUGACGGCCUUCGGGUUGUAAACCUCUUUCAGCACGGAAGAAGCGAAAGUGACGGUACGUGCAGAAGAAGCGCCGGCUAACUACGUGCCAGCAGCCGCGGUAAUACGUAGGGCGCAAGCGUUGUCCGGAAUUAUUGGGCGUAAAGAGCUCGUAGGCGGUUUGUCGCGUCUGCUGUGAAAGCCCGGGGCUUAACCCCGUGGUGUGCAGUGGGUACGGGCAGACUUGAGUGCAGUAGGGGAGACUGGAAUUCCUGGUGUAGCGGUGAAAUGCGCAGAUAUCAGGAGGAACACCGAUGGCGAAGGCAGGUCUCUGGGCUGUUACUGACGCUGAGGAGCGAAAGCAUGGGGAGCGAACAGGAUUAGAUACCCUGGUAGUCCAUGCCGUAAACGUUGGGCACUAGGUGUGGGGGACAUUCCACGUUUUCCGCGCCGUAGCUAACGCAUUAAGUGCCCCGCCUGGGGAGUACGGCCGCAAGGCUAAAACUCAAAGGAAUUGACGGGGGCCCGCACAAGCGGCGGAGCAUGCGGAUUAAUUCGAUGCAACGCGAAGAACCUUACCAAGGCUUGACAUACACCAGACCGGCCCAGAGAUGGGUUUUCCUCUUUGAGGUUGGUGUACAGGUGGUGCAUGGUUGUCGUCAGCUCGUGUCGUGAGAUGUUGGGUUAAGUCCCGCAACGAGCGCAACCCUCGUUCUAUGUUGCCAGCACGUGAUGGUGGGGACUCAUAGGAGACUGCCGGGGUCCACUCGGAGGAAGGUGGGGAUGACGUCAAAUCAUCAUGCCCCUUAUGUCUUGGGCUUCACGCAUGCUACAAUGGCCGGUACAAUGGGUUGCGAUACCGUGAGGUGGAGCUAAUCCCAAAAAGCUGGUCUCAGUUCGGAUCGUGGUCUGCAACUCGACCACGUGAAGUCGGAGUCGCUAGUAAUCGCAGAUCAGCAACGCUGCGGUGAA